GAGUUUGAUCCUGGCUCAGAUUGAACGCUGGCGGCAUGCCUUACACAUGCAAGUCGAACGGCAGCACGGGAGCAAUCCUGGUGGCGAGUGGCGAACGGGUGAGUAAUGCAUCGGAACGUGUCCUGUAGUGGGGGAUAGCCCGGCGAAAGCCGGAUUAAUACCGCAUACGACCUGAGGGUGAAAGCGGGGGAUCUUCGGACCUCGCGCUAUAGGAGCGGCCGAUGUCAGAUUAGGUAGUUGGUGGGGUAAAGGCCUACCAAGCCGACGAUCUGUAGCUGGUCUGAGAGGACGACCAGCCACACUGGGACUGAGACACGGCCCAGACUCCUACGGGAGGCAGCAGUGGGGAAUUUUGGACAAUGGGCGCAAGCCUGAUCCAGCCAUGCCGCGUGCAGGAAGAAGGCCUUCGGGUUGUAAACUGCUUUUGUCAGGGAAGAAAUCCUCUGGGUUAAUACCUCGGAGGGAUGACGGUACCUGAAGAAUAAGCACCUGGCUAACUACGUGCCAGCAGCCGCGGUAAAUACGUAGGUGCGAGCGUUAAUC
rnacentral:rRNA from 1 species